GAUGAACGCUGGCGGCGUGCCUAAUACAUGCAAGUCGAGCGAACGGACGAGAAGCUUGCUUCUCUGAUGUUAGCGGCGGACGGGUGAGUAACACGUGGAUAACCUACCUAUAAGACUGGGAUAACUUCGGGAAACCGUAGCUAAUACCGGAUAAUAUUUUGAACCGCAUGGUUCAAAAGUGAAAGACGGUCUUGCUGUCACUUAUAGAUGGAUCCGCGCUGCAUUAGCUAGUUGGUAAGGUAACGGCUUACCAAGGCAACGAUGCAUAGCCGACCUGAGAGGGUGAUCGGCAACACUGGAACUGAGACACGGUCCAGACUCCUACGGGAGGCAGCAGUAGGGAAUCUUCCGAAAUGGGCGAAAGCCUGACGGAGCAACGCCGCGUGAGUGAUGAAGGUCUUCGGAUCGUAAAACUCUGUUAUUAGGGAAGAACAUAUGUGUAAGUAAAUGUGCACAUCUUGACGGUACCUAAUCAGAAAGCCACGGCUAACUACGUG
rnacentral:rRNA from 1 species